GUGCCAGCAGCCGCGGUAAGACGAACCGUACAAACGUUAUUCGGAAUCACUGGGCUUAAAGGGUGCGUAGGCGGCGCUGUAAGUUGGGUGUGAAAUCCCUCGGCUCAACCGAGGAACUGCGCCCAAAACUACAGUGCUUGAGGGAGAUAGAGGUGAGCGGAACUUAGGGUGGAGCGGUGAAAUGCGUUGAUAUCCUAAGGAACGCCAGGGGCGAAAGCGGCUCACUGGGUCUCUUCUGACGCUGAGGCACGAAAGCUAGGGUAGCGAACGGGAUUAGAUACCCCCGUAGUCC
rnacentral:rRNA from 1 species